GCGGAUGUGGCGAAAUUGGUAGACGCACCAGAUUUAGGUUCUGGCGCCGCAAGGUGUGAGAGUUCGAGUCUCUCCAUCCGCA
rnacentral:tRNA from 2 species